rnacentral:rRNA from 1 species
CCGGAGGCCAUUGCUAUCGGAGUCCGAUUUAGCCAUGCUAGUUGCACGAGUUCACACUCGUAGCAUAUAGCUCAGUAACACGUGGUCAAGCUACCCUGCAGACACGGACAACCUCGGGAAACUGAGGCUAAUCCGCGAUACCGAUCCCACGCUGGAAUGCCGGGAUCCACAAACGCUCCGGCGCUGCAGGAUGCGGCUGCGGCCGAUUAGGUAGACGGUGGGGUAACGGCCCACCGUGCCGAUAAUCGGUACGGGUUGUGAGAGCAAGAGCCCGGAGACGGAAUCUGAGACAAGAUUCCGGGCCCUACGGGGCGCAGCAGGCGCGAAACCUUUACACUGCACGCAAGUGCGAUAAGGGGACUCCGAGUGCGAGGGCAUAUAGUCCUCGCUUUUGAGAACCGUAAGGCGGUUCUCGAAUAAGAGCUGGGCAAGACCGGUGCCAGCCGCCGCGGUAAUACCGGCAGCUCAAGUGAUGGCCAAUCUUAUUGGGCCUAAAGCGUCCGUAGCUGGCCACGAAAGUCCGUCGGGAAAUCCAUCUGCCCAACAGAUGGGCGUCCGGCGGAAACUUCGUGGCUUGGGACCGGAAGGCUCGAGGGGUACGUCCGGGGUAGGAGUGAAAUCCCGUAAUCCUGGACGGACCGCCGAUGGCGAAAGCACCUCGAGAAGACGGAUCCGACAGUGAGGGACGAAAGCUAGGGUCUCGAACCGGAUUAGAUACCCGGGUAGUCCUAGCCGUAAACAAUGUUCACUAGGUGUGGCACAGGCUACGAGCCUGUGCUGUGCCGUAGGGAAGCCGAGAAGUGAACCGCCUGGGAAGUACGUCCGCAAGGAUGAAACUUAAAGGAAUUGGCGGGGGAGCACUACAACCGGAGGAGCCUGCGGUUUAAUUGAU